rnacentral:rRNA from 1 species
AUUGAACGCUGGCGGCAGGCCUAACACAUGCAAGUCGAGCGGAUGAAGAGAGCUUGCUCUCUGAUUUAGCGGCGGACGGGUGAGUAAUGCCUAGGAAUCUGCCUGGUAGUGGGGGAUAACGUUCCGAAAGGAACGCUAAUACCGCAUACGUCCUCCGGGAGAAAGCAGGGGACCUUCGGGCCUUGCGCUAUCAGAUGAGCCUAGGUCGGAUUAGCUAGUUGGUGAGGUAAUGGCUCACCAAGGCUACGAUCCGUAACUGGUCUGAGAGGAUGAUCAGUCACACUGGAACUGAGACACGGUCCAGACUCCUACGGGAGGCAGCAGUGGGGAAUAUUGGACAAUGGGCGAAAGCCUGAUCCAGCCAUGCCGCGUGUGUGAAGAAGGUCUUCGGAUUGUAAAGCACUUUAAGUUGGGAGGAAGGGCAGUAAGUUAAUACCUUGCUGUUUUGACGUUACCGACAGAAUAAGCACCGGCUAACUUCGUGCCAGCCGCCGCCGUAAUAC